rnacentral:rRNA from 1 species
UACGUAGGGUGCAAGCGUUGUCCGGAAUUAUUGGGCGUAAAGAGCUCGUAGGCGGUUUGUCGCGUCUGUCGUGAAAGCCCACGGCUUAACCGUGGGUCUGCGGUGGAUACGGGCAGACUAGAGGCAGGUAGGGGAGAAUGGAAUUCCCGGUGUGAGCGGUGAAAUGCGCAGAUAUCAAGGAGGAACACCGGUGGCGAAGGCGGGUCUCUGGGCCAUUGACUGACGCUGGAGGAGCGAAAGCGUGGGGAGC